GCAGAGUGUAUCGUGAGAUCGCAGGUUGAGAAGAUGACAGCUCGAAGUGUGCUGCUCGUUGAUUUCUGCUUUUACUUUGCUUCUCUCUGUGUUCUGGAACACAAGAGACGCUGAAGGAGCAGCGAGAGUGAGCACAAAAAAGCCAGGAUCAUGUCCAAAACCCGUUGGAGCAGGAGUGUGUGCUGAGAUGUGUUCUGGUGACAGUAGCUGUCCAAAAAAACAGAAAUGCUGCAGCAAUGGAUGUGGGCGUCAGUGUAUGGCUCCAUAUCAAGAAAAGCCUGGAAUGUGUCCAAGCAAAAACCUCAAAAUAGGAGUGUGUGCUGAAUUCUGUUCCUGUGACAGUAACUGUCCAAACAACCAGAAAUGCUGCAGCAAUGGAUGUGGACAUCAGUGUAUGCCUGCCACACACAG